rnacentral:rRNA from 1 species
AACGAACGCUGGCGGCAGGCCUAACACAUGCAAGUCGAGCGGACAUCUUCGGAUGUUAGCGGCGGACGGGUGAGUAACGCGUGGGAACGUGCCCUUUGCUUCGGAAUAGCCUCGGGAAACUGGAAGUAAUACCGGAUGUACCCUUUGGGGGAAAGAUUUAUCGGCACAGGAUCGGACCGAGUUGGAUUAGGUUGUUGGUGGGGUAAUGGCCUACCAAGCCGCCGAUCCAUAUAUGGUUUGAGAGGGUGGUCAGACACACCGGUACGGAGACACGGCACAGACUCCUACGGGAGGGAGCAGUGGGGGAUCGUAGAAAAUGGGGGGAAUCAUGAUCGAGCCAUGCCGCGUGAGCGCUGAAGGCCUUAGGGUUGUAAAGCUCUUUCACCGGGGAAGAUAAUGACGGUACCCGGAGAAGAAGCCCCGGCUAACUCCGUG